AGAUCAGGUCAACUGUUUCUACAGGUUUCUGCAGCACUGUAUUGGCUUCUUUGCUCAUCCUUCCCAAAGCUGCGAGCUCGAAGAGGACGGCCUUCCCAGAUAGAGGAGGACUGGUCUUUGGUCAAGGGUAUACAACUAGCUCCCCUGCUAGAACCUCUAAACAAGCUCUCUCUGCUUUCUUAAGAGAACUGGUUUCACAGUUCACUAUUAACAAAAAGAAAUAAAUCAAUU
rnacentral:snRNA from 1 species